AGAGUUUGAUCAUGGCUCAGAUUGAACGCUGGCGGAAUGCUUUACACAUGCAAGUCGAGCGGCAGCGCGGGGGCAACCCUGGCGGCGAGCGGCGAACGGGUGAGUAAUACAUCGGAACGUGUCCUUGAGUGGGGGAUAGCUCGGCGAAAGCCGGAUUAAUACCGCAUAAGCUCUGAGGAGGAAAGCGGGGGAUUCGCAAGGACCUCGCGCUGUUGGAGCGGCCGAUGUCGGAUUAGCUAGUUGGUGGGGUAAAGGCCCACCAAGGCGACGAUCCGUAGCUGGUCUGAGAGGAUGAUCAGCCACACUGGAACUGAGACACGGUCCAGACUCCUACGGGAGGCAGCAGUGGGGAAUAUUGCGCAAUGGGCGGAAGCCUGACGCAGCGACGCCGCGUGAGGGAUGACGGCCUUCGGGUUGUAAACCUCUUUCAGCUCUGACGAAGCGAGAGUGACGGUAGGAGCAGAAGAAGCACCGGCCAACUACGUGCCAGCCGCCGCGGUAAUACA
rnacentral:rRNA from 1 species